rnacentral:hammerhead_ribozyme from 1 species
AUCCAGCUGAUGAGUUGCAAAUAGGACGAAGUGUGCAUCCUGAAU